rnacentral:rRNA from 1 species
UACAGAGGGUGCGAGCGUUAAUCGGAAUUACUGGGCGUAAAGCGUGCGUAGACGGUAGCGUAAGUCAGAUGUGAAAGCCCCGGGCUCAACCUGGGAAUUGCAUUUGAGACUGCUCUGCUCGGGUGCGGAAGAGGGAAGCGGAAUUUCCGGUGUAGCGGUGAAAUGCGUAGAUAUCGGAAGGAACACCAGUGGCGAAAGCAGUGUCCUGGGGAGUACCUGACGCUCAGGUGCGAAAGCCAGGGGAGCGAACGGG